rnacentral:rRNA from 1 species
UACGUAGGGUGCGAGCGUUGCCCGGAUUUAUUGGGCGUAAAGGGCGCGUAGGCGGCUCGACACGUUCGUUGUGAAAUCGCCCGGCUCAACUGGGCGGGGUCAGCGAAUACGGUCGAGCUUGAGCAAGCUAGGGGGCAAUGGAAUUCCCGGUGUAGUGGUGGAAUGCGUAGAUAUCGGGAGGAACACCAGUGGCGAAGGCGGCUCUCUGGAACGCAACUGACGCUGAGACGCGAAAGCGUGGGGAGCAAACAGG